GUUUCUCGUACUGCGUAGUGCUUCUGUUUGUGAGCCCUUCGCCGUCCAACCGCCCCUAUUCGUCAUGCUUUGCAGUGACCCGGUCACUUGGUUGAAGCAGGAAAACAAUGAGAAAAAAGCCGGGGUCAAUACGUCGUGUUGCACCUGACCCGCAGCGUGCGCGACGACUCGCUUGCAAAGCGACGAGUCGGUGUUGUCAACGCAGUGGAGCAGCCGGUGCGCCUUGGGAGGUUGGGUCACGGCAACGGCGACAGCGGUUUGGAGGUCUCGCUGGGGCGGGUAACCCCGGACGAGUUGUUGAUGUGCAAGCAAACCCCGUGCUGGUACGCUUGUUGAAAAAACAACUAGGAAGUGGUGUUCUCGAAACGCUUAGGCGGCGUUGUCCUUGCGCCUUGCCAGGUGUGCCACACGGGCACCUUGCACACUUUCCGGCUUCGGUUUCGCGUCUCUGUUGGCGUGUCGAGGCUGACAGACUUUUUGUGUGUGCCCCAGCACCUGCACUGCAGUUUGGUAGCACUGGGUAUCCAGAUGAGCAGCUGGGGGCGGCCUCUCGUGCUUCCACCGUGGACAGCGACUGGUACAGAGCAGUGUCCACGUUCAGGUGCGCUCGUGUUGAUUUGCUGGGGGUUCGCGCGGGCUGCUGUUCCUUGCCUAAGCACGGACGUUGCAGGUCAGUGAAAGACAGCAAGGAUCCGGGUAGGAGGGAAACCUGAUAGCCACUCGAUUUGGUGGACAAGAGCGCUUCCACGGAUAAACAGCAGUACGGGGUGCGCCUCGAAUGGAAACCGCUGAUCCACGAGGCGGGCCCUCAAGCACGCAACUUGUCCUUUAGCUAGCUGCCCGAAUGCGUGCAAGUUGAAUUGUACGCUUUGAAUUGGUGCGAAUUCGUCGCGGAUCUUCUUACUGACCCACCGCCGUCUGCGGAAGCGCCGAAACGUCAGACACUCGUGCCUCUACGCAACGCCGCACUGCCCGGUCAACGCUCGCGUCACAGAACUUGAGCUGGUAGACAAUGUGCGCCAGGGGAACGGUCACAGAGGCAGCACGAUGCUGGUUCAAAGCGAGACGGAGUCUGCUUUUGGUGUGCGUCUCUGUCUGGGACACAGCACCAGAGGACACAUCUGCCAGAUUGGAACUCGACUGCUGGACAGGCUCGCAGUCGAGACAAUGAUACGCGGCUAGUGCCAUCAGGAUGCGCCGAUGGAGACGUGAUGACGCCUCAAGGGUCAACGUUCGCGAGUCUGGCCCCGGAUCAGCUAGCCCAUGGACCGAAGCUGCGUACCGUGUCGGCCGCAGGCCCGUUGCUGGACCCUGUGAGUUCGACAACCGUGGACAGCGACCCGGAGACAAGAGCCACUGAAGGUGGUUUUGGUUCAGGUGCGGUACAAGGCCAUGCUCGUGUAAAAUGGAUUCAUGGUGGGCUAUGAGCAACCAGAGAUCGUUGGAAUAGCGGCGCAGAAGCUCUCGUGUGGCGUAACUGAGACGAAAGAAUGCCAAGAUCAAUCUGGAUACCUCAUUUGCGUCCGCUAUCUCGAGCUGCGACGUGGGUGGUGCGGGAUCAACUUGGCAAUCCUCGUCCAACGGGAAUACAUGCUCUGCUGCUUCAACCCGCGCAUGUGGAUGGUGCCCGGCUAUGCCCGCAGCAAAGUUUUCUUCUUCAGAUUCCACCUCGCAAACGAUGUCAUUCGAAUUGUCGCGUUGAUUCCCAAGAUGCAACGCCUUCAUCUGCGACUCGAGCGCAUUCGAUCUGGCGGUGCGAUGCUGCCUGCUGCCCGGGAUAGGGGGCUCGGGGGUGCGCGCUUCACCCGAGCGAUGGCGUGCGGAUACGCUCUUCCGAAUCGAAGACAAGGCGUCCAGCAAGAUUCUCUCCUCUUCUUCGGUGCAUUCACGAAACGGUUCCCAAAAAUGCCAUGCGUCGCCCAUUCCUCGAAGUACCCGUUCCAUCUGGGGAGACUCGGCGUGUCGCUCGCGCAUAUCUGUCCAGAAUUCGUGCAACCACGCCGCUUCCGUUGGAGGCCGCUCAACGCCAACUUCCCAGGUAUCCAGCGGUGAAUCCAAGGCCUCAGUGCCGAGGCCUCCGACACUCCCAUAAUGAACCGCACUCAAGCGCAAGU